ACGCUCACGUGAGUGGGCGUGGUCACUCGGUAGGCCGGGCCGGAGGGGCUUAGAAGGUAAUAGCAGCGUGAGUUCUUCACUCGCAACUUUCUAGGCGGGGGGCCUCUACCCUUCCUCCGCAGACCGCGCUGUUCUCUCGUUUCCUGCCUUGCUCCCACUGCCGACUCCACGCCGCUCCUCCGGAGAAAGUGCGGGCCUCCCCUCCGGCCCGACGCCAGGCUCCUCCUGCGCGAUCCCACCUGCGCGAAGGAGGCGAGAACGCGCGCAGCGCUCCUCUCAGCAUUACUCUCCGCAGCUUCUUUGGCUGCUCUUAAUAACACACCUUGAUUGAGCACCUUAUGAUGAGUCAAGUUACGUUUCAGCAACCAUGACCUGAGAAUCUAUGUCUUUCACACAUUUUGCCUGGUACCUUGCCUUUGACUGUCACUGGUGUGGACCAAGCUUUUCACCUCUCAGCUCUGGGACUCAGGGCAAGUCCUGCCACCCGUUGUGACCUGCUGGCUUCAUCCUGUUUGAGUCUUUGUUCCAGUUGCCAGACCAUCUGGGGUUCUUGCUUAGACUCUUUUUCCAAGGUCACCAGAAGUGCAGUCUUCAUGAGGGAGUUCUCAGAUCGUCCUCUUCCUUCCACUGUGCUUGCUAAGCAUUUGCUGUUCAUCACGUGUGACCAUGGGGCUGUCUGUCUCAUUCUGCUCGUGAGGCCCUGUGGCUUCUGUGUGUUUCUCAUUUAAGCAUUGUAACUUUUCUGGCCGUGGCCUCUCUGUUCUUCCCACAGAUGGUUAUGGAAAGAGUUUUCAA
ensembl:lncRNA